rnacentral:rRNA from 1 species
UACGAGGGGGGCGAGCGUUGUUCGGAAUUACUGGGCGUAAAGGGCGCGUAGGUGGCCACCUAAGUCAGACGUGAAAUCCCUCGGCUCAACCGGGGAACUGCGUCUGAUACUGGGUGGCUUGAAUCCGGGAGAGGGAUGUGGAAUUCCAGGUGUAGCGGUGAAAUGCGUAGAUAUCUGGAGGAACACCGGUGGCGAAGGCGGCAUCCUGGACCGGUAUUGACGCUGAUGCGCGAAAGCCAGGGGAGCAAAC